AGUUAGAAAGCUGUAUAGAAAGCAUAUGUUUUGAAAGCAUAAGUAAAGGAGUUAAAAUCUCCUAAUAACUU
rnacentral:tRNA from 1 species